AGACACUAAAUCUGCCAGUGCCUGGAUCUUGAACUACCUAGCCUCCAGAGCAGUGAGAAAUCAGUUCCUGUUGUUCAUAAGCCACUCAGCUUAUGGUAUUUUGU